UACGGAGGGUGCAAGCGUUAUCCGGAUUCACUGGGUUUAAAGGGUGCGUAGGUGGGUAGGUAAGUCAGUGGUGAAAUCUUCGAGCUUAACUCGGAAACUGCCAUUGAUACUAUCUGUCUUGAAUACCGUGGAGGUGAGCGGAAUAUGUCAUGUAGCGGUGAAAUGCUUAGAUAUGACAUAGAACACCAAUUGCGAAGGCAGCUCACUACUCGAAUAUUGACACUGGGGCACGAAAGCGUGGGGAUCAAAC
rnacentral:rRNA from 1 species